CUCUUCCGUAGGGUGAACCUGCGGAAGGAUCAUUACCUAGAGUUGUAGGCUUUGCCUGCUAUCUCUUACCCAUGUCUUUUGAGUACCUUACGUUUCCUCGGUGGGUUCGCCCACCGAUUGGACAAAUUUAAACCCUUUGCAGUUGAAAUCAGCGUCUGAAAAAACUUAAUAGUUACAACUUUCAACAACGGAUCUCUUGGUUCUGGCAUCGAUGAAGAACGCAGCGAAAUGCGAUAAGUAGUGUGAAUUGCAGAAUUCAGUGAAUCAUCGAAUCUUUGAACGCACAUUGCGCCCCUUGGUAUUCCAUGGGGCAUGCCUGUUCGAGCGUCAUUUGUACCUUCAAGCUCUGCUUGGUGUUGGGUGUUUGUCUCCUGUAGACUCGCCUCAAAACAAUUGGCAGCCGGCGUAUUGAUUUCGGAGCGCAGUACAUCUCGCGCUUUGCACUCAUAACGACGACAUCCAAAAGUACAUUUUUACACUCUUGACCUCGGAUCAGGUAGGGAUACCCGCUGAACUUAAGCAUAUCAAUAAGCGGGAGGAAGA
rnacentral:rRNA from 1 species